rnacentral:misc_RNA from 1 species
AACGCACGAGACCUGCGGACCUGCGGAAGGAUCAUUAGUGAACGCCCUCACGGGCUUAUAACUAUUCCAAACCCCUGUGAACCGUGCCCUUCGGGGCUAUUUUACAAACAUGGUGUAAUGAACGUCAUAUAUCAUAACAAAACAAAACUUUCAGCAACGGAUCUCU